rnacentral:rRNA from 1 species
UACGUAGGGAGCAAGCGUUGUCCGGAAUCAUUGGGCGUAAAGCGCGCGUAGGCGGCCUCGUAAGUCCGUUGUGAAAGUCAAAGGCUCAACCUUUGAAAGCCGAUGGAUACUGUGAGGCUAGAGUCCGGAAGAGGCGAGUGGAAUUCCUGGUGUAGCGGUGAAAUGCGCAGAUAUCAGGAGGAACACCGAUGGCGAAGGCAGGUCUCUGGGCCACUACUGACGCUGAGAAGCGAAAGCAUGGGGAGCGAACAGG